GGGUCUGUAGUCUAGCUGGUUAGGAUACCGCGUCGACAUCGCGGUGAUCAUGAGUUCGAAUCUCAUUAGACCCA
rnacentral:tRNA from 3 species